rnacentral:misc_RNA from 1 species
GACCAGCAGCUGGUGCGC